GAUGAACGCUGGCGGCGUGCCUAAUACAUGCAAGUCGAGCGAACAGACGAGGAGCUUGCUCCUCUGACGUUAGCGGCGGACGGGUGAGUAACACGUGGAUAACCUACCUAUAAGACUGGGAUAACUUCGGGAAACCGGAGCUAAUACCGGAUAAUAUAUUGAACCGCAUGGUUCAAUAGUGAAAGACGGUUUUGCUGUCACUUAUAGAUGGAUCCGCGCCGCAUUAGCUAGUUGGUAAGGUAACGGCUUACCAAGGCGACGAUGCGUAGCCGACCUGAGAGAGUGAUCGGCAACACUGGAACUGAGACAAGGUCCAGACUCCUACGGGAGGCAGCAGUAGGGAAUCUUCCGCAAUGGGCGAAAGCCUGACGGAGAAACGCCGCGUGAGUGAUGAAGGUCUUCGGAUCGUAAAACACUGUUAUUAGGGAAGAACAAAUGUGUAAGUAACUAUGAACGUCUCGACGGUACCUAAUCAGAAAGCCACGGCUAACUACGUG
rnacentral:rRNA from 1 species